UAGAAGAAUUACUGAAUCGGUGUGGUACU
rnacentral:sRNA from 1 species